CAACCAACAUCCGUAACAGCUAGGAAAGAAAAUAUUCUGUUUUGUUUGCUGCAAGAAUCAAACGCGAACUCGGACAACGAAACGGACAACAACGAUCGAAACGAUGGCAAGCGCUGCCGAUAACUGGGUCAAAAAGACGACGGAUCAAGAAAUUUCUGCACUCGGUUAGCGAACUGAGUACAUAUCACCAAGGAUAAGGAUUCAGAGCCGGUGGCUGGCAGUCCAGAGAAAGAGAAUGCGGAAAAACCUAGUCCACCGGCAGUAGAACCAAAGCUGCACCUGAUGUUUGGAGUUCGGUAGCUACUGACUCUAGCAGCUCCUGAAGAAAAACAAGCUGCAAGAGAAAAUGGAGAAAAAGCUUCCUCCGCGGAAGAUGCAGAGGCAUUCAACCCGGCGGAUGCAAGUUUGCUAAUGAAAGAUGUUCGCUAAGGUCUAGUAGAAUCAAAGCUGGAUCUGGAGGUGCAGCGGAAGGAUUCUUCUUCGCCGAUUGGUUGGUUAAAACUAUCGAAGCUUUGCACAUGAAGCAGGAAUUACUACAGAGUCUAUGCGAUGGGUUUCAACGCCCCUUCCAAAAUUCAGGAGAUGGCUCUACCUACUCUGUCGACCGGUCCGCCACGGAAUAUAAUAGCCCAGAGUCAGUCGGGAAUAGGAAAAACCGCUGCCUUCGUGCUGGCAAUGCUCAGUUGAGUCCAUCAGUUAAAAAACUAUCUGCAGGUGAUUUGCCUUUCCCCACGUAUGAGCUGGCAAUUCAGAAGGGGGAAAUAGCUGCCAAAAUGGCAAAGUUUUGUUCGGAAAUCAAACUUCCUUACGCCGUUCGCUGUGAGGAGAUCGUCAAAGGGGCGAAGCUGACUGAUCAUAUCAUAUAGCUAAUGGACUGGGGUAUAAAGUUCAGGACGUUCGACCUAGUUUUCCCUUUUUGUACUGGACGAGGUGGGUGUUAUGGUCGGUGUUCUUCUCGGCCACGUACGAGCGCGAGGUGAUGGAGUUUGCCGAAUACAUCGUGCCCAAUCCGAUUCGGCAGGCGCGGGAGCAAGAAUCACUCGAUAACAUUAAACAGUACUACGUCAAGUUCCGCAACCAGGACGAGAAAUUGUGUGAUUACCGUCGGACAAGCGAUCAUUUUCUGUCAUAUGAUGUAUAGGACAGUUGUAAACUCCAAGUAAACUUAUUUUCAGAACUGUUAAUCGAUCGAAACAGGUACGCAAAACGGCCGGUUGGUUGACCGGCAGGAUGUCCCAGGAUGGUCACUCGGUAGCGGUGCUGUCCGGUGAUCUAACGGUGGAGCAACGGUUGGACGCUCUGGAUCGAUUCCGAACCGGACUAGAGAAGGUACAGAUUAUAACGAACGUUUUGUCCAGGGGUAUCGACGUCGAACAGGUGACCAUUGUCGUCAACUUCGACCUGCCGAUGGAUCAGCAGGGACGAGCCAAUUGCGAAACGUAUCUACAUCGAAUUAGACGCACCGGUAGAUUCGAACGGAAUCACCAUCAACCUAGUGGACAGUGAUCGAAGCAUGAUGAUUUGCAGAUCAAUCAAAAAACACUUCCGGAAAAAGAUUCAGUUGCUAGACGCGGAGAACUCGGACGAAAUUGAAAAUUGCUAGACACCACUGAAUGUGAACGGUCGUGUGGCGCGAAUCCACCCCACUUCAUCUGGCUGCCGGUUACAAUUCUUUGUUUCCUUUAGUAUCUCGAAGUAACCGAACUGAACGGGAAUUGUAGGAAAAAAUUACAUAUAAAUACAACACAGUUAAACCCAUUCCUCAACCGGCUCGGAUUUCUGAAUGGAGUCAGUAUGGUUUCCAAUUCAAAUGCAACAAUCGAUUCCGACCGGAUUCGGAAUCGGUUGUUGCAUUUGCGCUGGAAUCCAUACUAACUCCAUUUAGGCUUCCGAGUGGUUUGACCGGGAAGAAGCACUGUGUGUUGGAUGCUUGUUAGGUUGAUAUUCAUCGACUGAAAAAGAACCUCAACCGAACUCAAAGCUGUACACCCGUACAGUGGUGACAUACCAUUACAUGCAGUACCCCACUCAAUGUACCCAAAGCGAAAACAAGUUCUCGAAAUUUCGUAAAGCUGAUAACUCACACUACAAGAUAAUGGACGUGCUGCUGCGUCGCGAUGCCAAGGUGGAUGCGCUCGAUGGACUCCAUCAAACAACGCUAAAUCGAUUAACUAGAUAAGAUAAUAUUCAAGCUUGUCGACUGUUACUAUCGUUCAACAUCGAUACCCAGCAUUGUAUCUCUGCAGGGCCGCCCAGUUUGCUACAGAAAAUGAGCUGAAAAAUUUUCAAGAUCCGCCUUCAGACACAAUCGAUCUAGAGUGCUAACUCUUGGAAGCAGCCAAAGCCGGUGAUCUAGAUACGGUUCGACGGAUUGAGCUCUCAAAUCCGGUGAAACGUAAAUUGUGAUCUGGAUGGACGACAUUCGACUCCAUUCAAUCUGGCUGCUGGCUAUAAUCGGAACUGCUGGCAAUUAGGGGGCUAUUUCAAAUGCAACACUAUUCGUAAGACAUUCUGUAGCAUUUGAAGCAGUUUAUACUGGUUGCUAAAAUACCUAGCAAAAACCACAGCAGCGCGCAGUUUCUCACAAUGCGAUUUUUUACAAUAGUGUUGGUGUUGUUUGUUUGUUGAUGCACAA